rnacentral:rRNA from 1 species
GACGAACGCUGGCGGCGUGCUUAACACAUGCAAGUCGAACGGAAAGGCCCUGCUUGCAGGGUACUCGAGUGGCGAACGGGUGAGUAACACGUGGGUGAUCUGCCCUGCACUUCGGGAUAAGCCUGGGAAACUGGGUCUAAUACCGGAUAGGAGCCAUUUUUAGUGUGAUGGUUGGAAAGUUUUUUCGGUGUAGGAUGAGCUCGCGGCCUAUCAGCUUGUUGGUGGGGUAAUGGCCUACCAAGGCGGCGACGGGUAGCCGGCCUGAGAGGGUGGACGGCCACAUUGGGACUGAGAUACGGCCCAGACUCCUACGGGGGGCAGCAGUGGGGAAUAUUGCACAAUGGGCGCAAGCCUGAUGCAGCGACGCCGCGUGGGGGAUGACGGCCUUCGGGUUGUAAACUCCUUUCGCUAGGGACGAAGCUUUUUGUGACGGUACCCAGAUAAGAAGCACCGGCUAACUACGUG